AGUGAACGCUGGCGGUAGGCCUGACACAUGCAAGUCGAACGGCAGCACAGCAGUAGCAAUACUGUGGGUGGCGAGUGGCGGACGGGUGAGGAAUACAUCGGAAAUCUACCUUUUCGUGGGGGAUAACGUAGGGAAACUUACGCUAAUACCGCAUACGACCUUAGGGUGAAAGUAGGGGAUCGCAAGACCUUACGCGGAUAGAUGAGCCGAUGUCGGAUUAGCUAGUUGGCGGGGAAAGGCCCACCAAGGCUACGAUCCGUAGCUGGUCUGAGAGGAUGAUCAGCC
rnacentral:rRNA from 1 species